rnacentral:tRNA from 1 species
GCGCAAGUGGCGGAACUGGUAUACGCGUUGGCCUUAGGAGCCAAUGCCCGCAAGGGCUUGUGGGUUCAAGUCCCACCUUGCGCACCA